GCCGGAAACUUUGGAAAUUUUAAGCCUCAUCCUGGAAGAUCUGUGGGGCUUGAUGAAGACGUCCUGGAAACCCUGGUGGAACAAAAUCUCGUGUAACUGUUGAAGAACUAGCAGAGCAGCUUGGAUAUGUUCAUUCAACCAUUUAUCAACA